GGCAUGUAUAAGAGGGUUUCUGUAAAUUGCAUCUUGUAUACUUGUUGGUGCUGUCGCAGCUUGUUUAUUGAAAUUCUCAAUGAAAGUCUUGAAUCUGUAUCUCUAUAUGAUUUAAGAUGGAUUACCAAAUGGCUCUUCCAUUAAAAUUCUAAUUGGGUGUUAUCUGCACAGCGUAAUUAUGGAGAAACUGAAACAUCGUAUUCCUUGCAAUGUAUUAAUGCAUGAAGUAACUUUGAUUUUCAAGAUUGAAUACUUCCGGUUUAAAAUGCGAAGAAUCACCAACAAUUUCAAAUGGAUUGGAGAUUUCAUCCUUGGAGCUUCGAAAUGUUCCGUCCACAAAUGGGAGUGCAACGAAUUAAUGGUCUCCCUGUGCACUUCAUUCAGCAAAGUUCUCAAUACUGAUCGAAGUUUGUCUUGACGUGCGCCCUGGAAAUUCAUAAAUAUUCUGGAACUCAAAUAUUGUCAAUUGGAUGGUGAAAACUAAAUAUUGAAACAUCAUAUGCUUGGAUGAUUUUGGAAGUCAUGUUACAGGAUCGUAUUUAAAUCGACACAACAGAGGAGCCAUGAAUCAGUUGAUGAGCUAUAUAAAUUGGUCUUUAAUGGUCAGUUCUUUUCAAGCUUGUACACUUCCAAUUAAAAUUAAAUAUGUAAUGAAUAGUAAAUUCUCAUACUCCGAUGUGAAGGGAACUUCAAUUCACCUAGUCGAAAAGUUUUAAAUUCUCUUUAAAAAAUAAGCAUAAUUAUAGGCGUAUUUCAAAUUUUAGUCGUUUCAAAUGAAACGGACAUUCAUUAGGAAUUCCCGCUCUUUACAUUGGUUGGAAGUUAAUGAUAGCUUGUACCCAUGUCGCGUUCCUGUUACGGGUCAAAUCGGUAUCGGAAUAUAAAUUAUCAACGCGGAUCUCCUGCAAUCUUGCAGUAAAUUACUAAAGAUACAUUCUUUGAAUAUCUGUUGCUAUAUCUGAAAUCGAGAUAGCAAUAUCUACAGAAUUCUUCAUAUGGUUCUCUCUGCAUGCAUCAACAUUUUAUUUUUAGCUCAUUUGACUCGCACUCGUGGUUAUCGGUAUGGAACUGAAUUGAUUAAUGUAUUAACCAUUAAUAUUUCGGAGUUGUCUUGUUCCAUACGAAAUGCAGUCUUUCAAAUAGAUUUUACGAUUAGUAUACGAUUAAUCUCGAGUGAGUAAAAUGUUAAGUGCAUCUGAAGUAUUUUCGAACAUACCCACUAUAAAAAAAUUGUGGCUUUUAUCGGAAACAAUUCAAUUAUUUUUAACGAAUUUCCCAUUAUUUCCAGAUCUCGUUCUUUAUUCUGAAGUUAGAUUGACUAUAGGUUUUUACGAAUUCUGAUCCCUAAAAAUGCUCCUUCCUAAAACUUCAAAUUGGAAAGUGCUUUUCAAAAAUUGCUUACGAGAAUUUUAAUAUAGAACGUCUAAAAUCGGUAACAUGCUAAAUAUAAAGUCGCUGUACCUUAGCAACACGACUUUCAGAGUGAGGUCUCGUACUGUUAAUUAUGUGGCAUCUGUCGUUUAUCAGAAAUCGGAAAAUAUAUUCAUAAUUAAACGGUUGAAUAUAAGAUUAUAAUAAGACUAAAGUCUUAAAAUAUAUAGCAUAAUAGUUAGAAGCGUAGCAAUAAACGUUGGUUUUUCGGCAGAUAUCAACAUUAAUCCCUUCACCUCGACAGAUGACUCGCUUAUCUUAUUGUUUAAGGACGCUACUCGAGGACCCUCACACAUAGCUUUGCUUGGUAAAGAAAUUCUA